UUGAUACAAUGAUGAUACCAUAGUUCAGCGGAUUAAACCAUGAAGAAUAAAUAGCACUUUGUCUUUCGCUCCUAUCUGAUGUAUCGA
ensembl:snoRNA